rnacentral:rRNA from 1 species
AGAGUUUGAUCCUGGCUCAGGACGAACGCUGGCGGUGUGCUUCAUACAUGCAAGUCGAACGAGGUAGCAAUACCUAGUGGCGGACGGGUGAGUAACGCGUGGGAAUCUGCCUUAAGCAGGGGGAUAGCUGGCCGAAAGGCUAAUUAAUACCGCAUACGCGCAUAUCCCGACAGGGAUAUGUGUGAAAGGAGUAAUCCGGC